AAUCACUACAGACACCCUGGUUCAAAUCCAGGCUACGUUUCAAUCAAAGUGGUCCACCUUCCCUGUGGCCCGACAUCGUUGCUGUAUGGACAGUGCAGAGAACAUGGAUGUUUCGUUUGUCAUGCCACUUUACUGCCAGCUGUUGACCAUUCUCCUUGAACUCCACCUCCCCUCACUGCAUCUUCCUGCAUCCGAAUGCCGGCAUCCCCUUCCUGUUUGACCUGACUGUGCCACAAGCCCCUGUGCUGUUGGAGAGCAGAUGCUGGAAGACUGUGGGACUGCUGUAACAAUUGUCCACAUACAAAGUGUGUCCCCUGCUGAGAUGAGGAGCCAGCAUGGUCAUCACCACGGACCCGACACCCCAAGCCCCUCAUAAUGUUGGAUGUCAGUGGUGGACCCUGCGCAAACAAUAAUGUCCUGGACAAAUCCUGUCUUCACGUCGCACAUGACAAAGAACUUGACCCCAAACCUGUGCCUUUUGGAGGGAAUAUUGACGGAACGCCAGCCUACCAUUCCAUAACAUCAGGGACUCAUCAAUCCAUUGUUGACCAAAUGUAGGCAUCGUAGCAGAACUUGGGAAAAGAGGGUGGCAAAGAGGGGAGUUACAAAUAUAGGAUCUGUGCUCCAGUAUUCUCUUAGGGAGUUCUUUACUAUCCCCAUGAGAAGGUAUACAGGAAGGUAUACAUUUCACUAAUUGUGGUUGUCACCCAUUUAGCAAGUUUCCCCCCCUACUCCUGGCUCUCUUCUCCUGUAGCUCCAAGGCAUAGCGAUUGGUCUCCUCUACUAUGUCUCCCACCAGCUCCUCUGUCAGAAACAACUUGAAGCACUCUGCCUCAGAUGGAAAUGGCUAGGGGCGUUGCACUCCAGACUGGGACUCAUCAAAGCAAACAGCAGGGCCAGGUUGGGGUGAAAUGGCUCAGGCCUUCCAGCUGAACCUUUCCACAGAACUCCUGUACUUCAUCCACUGUCGGUCUGCCUCCAUCACUACCAGCAUCUUCAAAGGGACCUGGGACUUCGUCAGUGGACAAGGAGUCCUCAGAUUCAGGGUUCUCAAUGUCUACAAGGUUGGGGAGCAGUUCCUCACUGUCAGAAUCUGAUUCCUGACUUUCAUACUCAGACUCAAUGUCAGAAUUAAAAACAUCUCCAGAA